UUAAGCGACUAAGCGUACACGGUGGAUGCCCUGGCAGUCAGAGGCGAUGAAGGGCGUGCUAAUCUGCGAUAAGCGCCGGUAAGGUGAUAUGAACCGUUAUAACCGGCGAUACCCGAAUGGGGAAACCCAGUGUGAUUCGUCACACUAUCAUUAACUGAAUCCAUAGGUUAAUGAGGCGAACCGGGGGAACUGAAACAUCUAAGUACCCCGAGGAAAAGAAAUCAACCGAGAUUCCCCCAGUAGCGGCGAGCGAACGGGGAGGAGCCCAGAGCCUGAAUCAGCAUGUGUGUUAGUGGAAGCGUCUGGAAAGGCGCGCGAUACAGGGUGACAGCCCCGUACACAAAAGCGCAUGUGCUGUGAGCUCGAUGAGUAGGGCGGGACACGUGGUAUCCUGUCUGAAUAUGGGGGGACCAUCCUCCAAGGCUAAAUACUCCUGACUGACCGAUAGUGAACCAGUACCGUGAGGGAAAGGCGAAAAGAACCCCGGCGAGGGGAGUGAAAAAGAACCUGAAACCGUGUACGUACAAGCAGUGGGAGCACCCUUCGGGGUGUGACUGCGUACCUUUUGUAUAAUGGGUCAGCGACUUAUAUUCUGUAGCAAGGUUAACCGUAUAGGGGAGCCGGAGGGAAACCGAGUCUUAAUUGGGCGUUAAGUUGCAGGGUAUAGACCCGAAACCCGGUGAUCUAGCCAUGGGCAGGUUGAAGGUUGGGUAACACUAACUGGAGGACCGAACCGACUAAUGUUGAAAAAUUAGCGGAUGACCUGUGGCUGGGGGUGAAAGGCCAAUCAAACCGGGAGAUAGCUGGUUCUCCCCGAAAGCUAUUUAGGUAGCGCCUCGUGAAUUCAUCUCCGGGGGUAGAGCACUGUUUCGGCUAGGGGGCCAUCCCGGCUUACCAACCCGAUGCAAACUGCGAAUACCGGAGAAUGUUAUCACGGGAGACACACGGCGGGUGCUAACGUCCGUCGUGAAGAGGGAAACAACCCAGACCGCCAGCUAAGGUCCCAAAGUCAUGGUUAAGUGGGAAACGAUGUGGGAAGGCCCAGACAGCCAGGAUGUUGGCUUAGAAGCAGCCAUCAUUUAAAGAAAGCGUAAUAGCUCACUGGUCGAGUCGGCCUGCGCGGAAGAUGUAACGGGGCUAAACCAUGCACCGAAGCUGCGGCAGCGAACGUAUCACCCAAGACAACUUUACGGAGUUGACGAUUGACGGAGCGAAGCGACGUCAAAGCGUUCAUUAAAGUCGAGUUGGCUUAGGGAUACGUUCGUUGGGUAGGGGAGCGUUCUGUAAGCCUGUGAAGGUGUGUCGUGAGGCAUGCUGGAGGUAUCAGAAGUGCGAAUGCUGACAUAAGUAACGAUAAAGCGGGUGAAAAGCCCGCUCGCCGGAAGACCAAGGGUUCCUGUCCAACGUUAAUCGGGGCAGGGUGAGUCGACCCCUAAGGCGAGGCCGAAAGGCGUAGUCGAUGGGAAACGGGUUAAUAUUCCCGUACUUGGUGUUACUGCGAAGGGGGGACGGAGAAGGCUAUGUUGGCCGGGCGACGGUUGUCCCGGUUUAAGCGUGUAGGUGUGUGUUCCAGGUAAAUCCGGUUCACUUUAACACUGAGGCGUGACGACGAGGCACUACGGUGCUGAAGCAACAAAUGCCCUGCUUCCAGGAAAAGCCUCUAAGCAUCAGGUAACACGAAAUCGUACCCCAAACCGACACAGGUGGUCAGGUAGAGAAUACCAAGGCGCUUGAGAGAACUCGGGUGAAGGAACUAGGCAAAAUGGUGCCGUAACUUCGGGAGAAGGCACGCUGACACGUAGGUGAAGUGAUUUACUCAUGGAGCUGAAGUCAGUCGAAGAUACCAGCUGGCUGCAACUGUUUAUUAAAAACACAGCACUGUGCAAACACGAAAGUGGAGGUAUACGGUGUGACGCCUGCCCGGUGCCGGAAGGUUAAUUGAUGGGGUCAGCGUAAGCGAAGCUCCUGAUCGAAGCCCCGGUAAACGGCGGCCGUAACUAUAACGGUCCUAAGGUAGCGAAAUUCCUUGUCGGGUAAGUUCCGACCUGCACGAAUGGCGUAAUGAUGGCCAGGCUGUCUCCACCCGAGACUCAGUGAAAUUGAACUCGCUGUGAAGAUGCAGUGUACCCGCGGCAAGACGGAAAGACCCCGUGAACCUUUACUAUAGCUUGACACUGAACAUUGAGCCUUGAUGUGUAGGAUAGGUGGGAGGCUUUGAAGUGUGGACGCCAGUCUGCAUGGAGCCGACCUUGAAAUACCACCCUUUAAUGUUUGAUGUUCUAACGUGGACCCGUAAUCCGGGUUGCGGACAGUGUCUGGUGGGUAGUUUGACUGGGGCGGUCUCCUCCUAAAGAGUAACGGAGGAGCACGAAGGUUGGCUAAUCCUGGUCGGACAUCAGGAGGUUAGUGCAAUGGCAUAAGCCAGCUUGACUGCGAGCGUGACGGCGCGAGCAGGUGCGAAAGCAGGUCAUAGUGAUCCGGUGGUUCUGAAUGGAAGGGCCAUCGCUCAACGGAUAAAAGGUACUCCGGGGAUAACAGGCUGAUACCGCCCAAGAGUUCAUAUCGACGGCGGUGUUUGGCACCUCGAUGUCGGCUCAUCACAUCCUGGGGCUGAAGUAGGUCCCAAGGGUAUGGCUGUUCGCCAUUUAAAGUGGUACGCGAGCUGGGUUUAGAACGUCGUGAGACAGUUCGGUCCCUAUCUGCCGUGGGCGCUGGAGAACUGAGGGGGGCUGCUCCUAGUACGAGAGGACCGGAGUGGACGCAUCACUGGUGUUCGGGUUGUCAUGCCAAUGGCACUGCCCGGUAGCUAAAUGCGGAAGAGAUAAGUGCUGAAAGCAUCUAAGCACGAAACUUGCCCCGAGAUGAGUUCUCCCUGAGACUUAGAGUCUCCUGAAGGAACGUUGAAGACGACGACGUUGAUAGGCCGGGUGUGUAAGCGCAGCGAUGCGUUGAGCUAACCGGUACUAAUGAACCGUGAGGCUUAACCU
rnacentral:rRNA from 1 species